GACGAACGCUGGCGGCGUGCUUAACACAUGCAAGUCGAGCGGAGCGGCGAACGGGUGAGUAACGCGUGAGUAACUGCCCCCCUCUCUGGGAUAACAGUUGGAAACGGCUGCUAAUACCGGAUAGUGGGGGAUGACUCGCGUCCUAUCAGCUUGUUGGUGGGGUAGUGGCCUACCAAGGCGACGACGGGGAGCCGGCCUGAGAGGGCGACCGGCCACAGUGGGCGGGGCAAAGGCCCAGGGUACUACGGGGGGCAGAAGUGGGGGAUAUUGCAGAAUGGGGGAAGGCGUGAUGCCGCGAGGACGCGUGGGGGAUGAGGGUUUUCGGGUUGUAAACCUCUACGAAGUAACUAUGGUUAGGUGGAGAAGAAGCACCGGCUAACUACGUGCCAGCAGCCGCGGUAAUAC
rnacentral:rRNA from 1 species